AGCUCACUGUUCCACCGCAUAAUAUUGUCCGUUUCCUUUCGUCUACGUUUGCGCCAAGGGAGAAUGUUGCAAGCUGUCCCUGUGGAUAUAUUGUGUCUUCAUGAGGAGUUCAGCGCAAAUAAGGGGGCGGUGAUGAUAAUCUGUGAAGAGUGGCAGCAACUUCUCACUACACGGAAACAUUUUCCAUUCUUCUUCAGGCGGUAUGCGCGUUUCUUUCUAAAGAAGCUCCAUGGACGAAGGCUGGUGAUGAACAUGGUGAAAAUGACAGAAGAAAGAAAGUCACACAUAUCUGGGAUGCCAUGAGGGUGAGUAAAUGAUGACAGAAUUGCAAUUUUGGGGUAAACUAUCCCUUUAAGUAGAUACAAUAACUAAACCUUACCACUUCUAAUUAUAAUUUGUAUGUAAAUGACUAAUAUAGAAAGAACUAACAGAAUUUUCACAGGGGCUUGUCUGACAUUGUAUUAUCUGUGUUCUGUAAGUGUUGUGUUUUGAAAUGUUGUCUGUGAGCAGAACAGAUUGGGCCUCCAUCCAAGGUGUUAGUAUUCUGUGCCAAGGAGUACAGAAUCAGCAACUUUAGAAGUAAAGAGUGAGUUUACAGGCCCGUGCAGUGAACCUACAAAGACUCAACAGUACUGAAUUAUGGGCCCCACCGCAGAGCUGCGUGAGGAGAACCUUCACUAUACUCUAAGAGGUACAAACAUCUUCAGUCCCAAAGAGGGCAUGCACAUGACAUAAAGCCUGAGGUGAAAUUCGUAUCAGGCAUCAGGGAAACUCCAAUGAGUGGACUGUUUGUGUCACAGUAUAUUAACCACAUAAAAGGGGUUUUGGCAUUUCAUAUAUUAAAGGUAUAACCAAUCCAUACAUUAAUAAUCACAGAUAAAAUGUUUCUCUGAUCUGUAAGCAUUCCAGUGUUCAAGUCGACACAUGGAGUCUGCAUGGUUGUGUAGGACUAAGUUCUUUAAAAGCAUGUAAAAUUGAAUUGAUAUCAGUGACGUCACCUGGCAUCACAAGAUCCUUCAGUUCUCAGAAAUUGCCCCUGGUAAUUGACAUACUGCCAAACCAACCAUUUAAAUUCAAGCCUUUCUGUUGAGAGUGAAGAUAAAAAGAAAUGGAUUUAUGGCAACAGAAAGUGCAGCUUUAAUGAUCUUCUAUGUGUGUGAUAAUAUUUACUGUAUCUGAAUUUGCUUGCGUCAGUUAUUCAAAUGUCCCUGUGACAUUUAUUCAUAUUGUCUGUAGAAUUUGAUAAAACUUGUAAUAAAAAUAAUUUGCA